GGGGGCGAUAGGAUUCGACGGGGAGAGUGGGGACAGAAGUAGCGAGUCGAGUUGCCUGCCAGCUCGUUAAAACGGUGGGACUUAAAGUAAACGCAGACAAUUACGCUUACGCUGCUUAAUUAAAGCAGCCGUCCAACCCGAGUUCGCCGGUGGCACGGGAUUGGGCGUCACUUAACCGGCUACCGAGGCGCCAAUUCUCGGAGGCGCGGGGGGAAUCUUCAUCGAGAUAGCCAAUGCCUGAGCCUGUCUGCCGGCGCUGCGGCGGCGAAACCUUAGUGGGCGGACUGCACUCGGAGAAGCUGCUGUUGUCACCUUUUCGGACGCGGGGUUCGAUACCCGCCGCCUCCACCA
rnacentral:tmRNA from 1 species